GUAUUCUCUUAAACAGCACAAACACUAAAAUUGGAAUGAUACAGAGAUCAGCAUGGUCCUUGCACAAGGAUACCACGUAAAUUCAUGAAGAGUCUUUU
rnacentral:snRNA from 1 species